AUGACUAGGGAUAACCUUAGGAAGAGACACAUCAUCAAACCACUUGAUUGUGUUUACUACUUAGAACAAGAGUCUUGUUCUCACCUAUUUUUCAAAUAUAUAGUUGCUAAACAUCUCUGGGCCCACAUUGAGGAAUAUUUCUCUAGUCAGAUUGGCUCAUCCUUCGAAUCUGUCACCAGAUUCUGGGUUGCUACCAAAAAGUGCUCAGUUCUAAACACUGUUAGCUCAGCUGUCCUUUGGUGCCUCUGGAAAUAUAGAAAUGCUAUGAUUUUCAGUAACACCUCCUGGAUUUCCAUUCCGCAGGUCUUGAGGUUGAUCAGGAACAUGGUGAGGAACUGGGCGAUUCUCUCCUUCGGAUCGGACAAGGACAAGUUGACGAGCUUCAUGGAAACCCUAGCAAGAUCCCUCCAGAAACCGUUAGCAAUCACUUGUGGCUGA
rnacentral:rRNA from 1 species